rnacentral:rRNA from 1 species
GGUAGCAAUACCAUGGGUGGCGAGUGGCGGACGGGUGAGGAAUACAUCGGAAUCUACCUUUUCGUGGGGGAUAAGUAGGGAAACUUACGCUAAUACCGCAUACGACCUUAGGGUGAAAGCGGAGGACCUUCGGGCUUCGCGCGGAUAGAUGAGCCGAUGUCGGAUUAGCUAGUUGGCGGGGUAAAGGCCCACCAAGGCGACGAUCCGUAGCUGGUCUGAGAGGAUGAUCAGCCACACUGGAACUGAGACACGGUCCAGACUCCUACGGGAGGCAGCAGUGGGGAAUAUUGGACAAUGGGCGCAAGCCUGAUCCAGCCAUGCCGCGUGGGUGAAGAAGGCCUUCGGGUUGUAAAGCCCUUUUGUUGGGAAAGAAAAGCAGUCGGUUAAUACCCGAUUGUUCUGACGGUACCCAAAGAAUAAGCACCGGCUAACUUCGUGCCAGCAGCCGCGGUAAUACGAAGGGUGCAAGCGUUACUCGGAAUUACUGGGCGUAAAGCGU